AACGAACGCUGGCGGCGUGCCUAACACAUGCAAGUCGAGCGGUAAGGCCCUUUCGGGGGUACACGAGCGGCGAACGGGUGAGUAACACGUGGGUGACCUGCCCUCAGCUCUGGGAUAAGCCUGGGAAACCGGGUCUAAUACCGGAUAUGACUCCAUGACGCAUGUUGUGGGGUGGAAAGCCUUGUGCGGCUGAGGAUGGGCCCGCGGCCUAUCAGCUUGUUGGUGGGGUGAUGGCCUACCAAGGCGACGACGGGUAGCCGGCCUGAGAGGGCGACCGGCCACACUGGGACUGAGACACGGCCCAGACUCCUACGGGAGGCAGCAGUGGGGAAUCUUGCGCAAUGGGCGAAAGCCUGACGCAGCGACGCCGCGUGAGGGAUGACGGCCUGGUGU
rnacentral:rRNA from 1 species